rnacentral:rRNA from 1 species
GCGAAAACUUUACAAUGCUGGCAACAGCGAUAAGGGAACCUCGAGUGCCAGGUUACAAAUCUGGCUGUCGAGAUGCCUAAAAAGCAUUUCAUAGCAAGGGCCGGGCAAGACCGGUGCCAGCCGCCGCGGUAACACCGGCGGCUCGAGUGGUAACCGUUAUUAUUGGGUCUAAAGGGUCUGUAGCCGGCCGGAUAAGUCUCUUGAGAAAUCUGGCAGCUUAACGGUCAGGCUGUCAGGAGGUACUGUCUGGCUCGAGGCCGGGAGAGGUGAGGGGUACUUCAGGGGUAGGGGUGAAAUCUUGUAAUCCUUGAAGGACCACCAGUGGCGAAGGCGUCUCACCAGAACGGACCUGACGGCAAGGGACGAAAGCUAGGGGCACGAACC